UUUACUUCUUUACGGCCUGGUCAUUGGUCACAAUUCAUAGUCUAUUCUAUAGUUCGUUUUCCGAUACCUAACCUAACGACUAAAGUCUCCCUCCUUGACCUCACUGUUGCUUCCCCGAACCUGCAGCUUAUUCCUAUCUCCGGCGACUAUCAUCCUCCCCGGAAUUUAUUAGAGGAGAUGUGUCAUCAGAAUUGUUGCGUGCAUUUAUCUGUAGAAGAAGCAAUUGCAGCUGAUGAAAGUCUCUUAAUUUAUUGCAAGCCUGUUGAACUUUAUAAUAUUCUUCAUCGCCGUGCUCAAUACAAUCCUUCGUUUCUUCGAAGAUGUUUGCGUUA